rnacentral:rRNA from 1 species
AUUGACCGCUGGCGGCAGGCCUAACACAUGCAAGUCGAACGAGUGGCGGACGGGUGAGUCAUGUCUGGGAAACUGCCCGAUGGAUGGGGAUAACUACUGGAAACGGUAGCUAAUACCGCAUACCAUCGGAUGUGCCCAGAUGGGAUUAGCUAGUAGGUGGGGUAACGGCUCACCUAUGCGACGAUCCCUAGCUGGGCUGAGAGGAUGACCAGCAAAACUGGAACUGAGAAACGGUCCAGAAGCCGAAGGGAGGAAGCAGGGGGGAAUAUUGCACAAGGGGCGCAAGCCUGAUGCAGCAAGGCGGCGUGUAUGAAGAAGGCCGUCGGGUUGUAAAGUACUGUCAGCGGGGAGGCGUUACCCGCAGAAGAAGCACCGGCUAACUCCGUGCCAGCCGCCGCGGUAAUAC